AAAAAAAGAAAGAGAGAGAGAGAAGCACGGUGUCGUCUCGUAAUGUUGCUCAAGAGUAAUCCUGACACGUCCGGGAGAUUUUAAUAAAGGAUUUUUUUUUAUUUUUUUUUUAGCGUAAAAGGCAGCCCGGUUUUUGAAACAGCUGCAUCAUGACGAGCUGUCACAUCGUCGCCUCGGCUCGCUUUCUGGGAUCUUCUUCCCCGCCUUCCACAAUGCAGCUAAUCAGCCCCGCUUUGAAUGCCAAGAUUCCCGGAGGAAGACGAGUGCGCACCUGCAGACUACUGCUGCUGCUGCUGCUGCUGCGAGACGGACAAUCCGAGCUGGAAGGAAACAGUCCGCUUCUUCCCGGGCGAGCUCCGAGGCUGCUGUGACGAUGUGCUCGGUGGGAAGGAGAGAGACGAUAGGGCGAAAGGGGAUUUCUUCUUCCACCAGGUGACCGCAUAAAAAAAGAGGGGGAAAAAAAGUGUCAACAAGGAUCCUAAAGACAAUGCAGCAAAAGUGUCUGUCUAGAAUCAAGGCCAUAAAGAGCUAACAGACGGCCUUUUACUCGGGGCCAAGGCUGAACGGAUCAAGCUGCCACCAACUCGGGAGGAAGCUGGCAAGGAUCGCAGGACGCACAGGAAGCGAGACCCUGAGGACGGGAGUCGAUUUGCGGGGGGCCGCCGUGCCGACACACCCCGAAACCCGCAUUCUCAACUGUUGUCUUGGCACCUGUCCACGAAGUGACCUCAUCAGAUAAACGGAAGGUGACAUACAAGGUCUCCACAGACAGAUGGUCAUUAUUUGUAAUAAUGAGAAUAUGCCCAGACAAAUGCAUACUACCUCAGUGGGCGAUGAUCAUUAUCAGUCAAGGGCGCCUUUAUUGACAGCAAAAGGGAUCGCUGAACAGAACGCCUCCCACUCUGUCCUCUACCUCGAGUAAUAUUACACUGUGGCGUGUGUGAAGGUAACGCUGACACAUUCAGCAGAACCCGCUACGACUGUCGUGCAUGCCAAGCUUCCCGGGGAAUUGUCCCUUUUCCAAAUAAAUUGUGCAAAAGUAACAAGGGCAGAACACUGACAUUUUUACUUUGGCUUUUACGUGUGACAGGGACUGCCCGCUUAGUGUCUGACGCCGCAGCAGGCAUUGGGCCAAUCCGCUAUAUUUCUAUUGCAAGCUACUUUGAUAUCAGUGCCUGUUCGGAGCAAAUGAAGGACAAAGAGGCUGUCAAAGUAGCGCCAUCUCCCCAUUACCAGUUGAGCUUAUCUCAGAAGGUGCUUUUGUGUCGAAAAGUCUUUUUUUGCGGCUACGUUACUUCCCUCUGCUCGACUGGUUCUCAGUGUCUUCAAGGAUUUGUUCUUUAUUCGUACAAGAACUCUAUUUACUCAGUAUGGCGUCCACUCUGCGGUGUCUUUGGUCACGGACAACUGGACUUUUCUUGUAUGUUGAAGAUGUUUCAGAGUUUGACAACUCUUGCAAACCAGUGACCCUCCCUAUCUGGAAUUUGGACGUCAUUGUCCUCAAAGUAAUGUCCCUUCAUUUGGAGAUCCAAAAGAACCGCCGACUCUGGAGCUGCAGAAGCUGCUCUCCGAUGUUGUGCCAUGUGAGCACCCCCAGGGGACACAAACACCAGAGGCAUAAAUAGGGAAACUCCACACCUAAAAAUGAAGAAGCCUUUUGCAUUACAGGGGAAAUGUCUUCAACAAACAAGAAAAGUCCACUUGCCUUGACUCACCGUUUUGUGGAUUACCAUGACCCGGAUGACUGCAUGAGAAUCGACAUAGACAUUUUGGUCACCGGGCUGAAUGUUGAGGCCCAUUUCCAACCAACGUUGCCUCUCCUUCGUGUCAAAGCAAGAACUGUACCGAUUUGGAAUGACUGUGAUCCAGAGUAUGGGAACAAGUUGCUAGAGAGUUGCCAGUUGACUUCCCUGCAAUGAACCUGUGCACUUGAGCAAGGCACCAAAGCCUUUCUGCGGGUCCAUUGUUUCUACAUUCAGUGGCAAUUAGCAUUCAGUAUCAAUGAAAUGAUAUUAAUAUGUGUUGAGAUCACAGUUUGUGGUAUAUUUACAGUAAAAACUAUUAAAAUAGGCAAUUAUAAAAAUUUUUAGGGGUGGUGUCAAUUACUCAUAUUUUUUCCGCUGUUCGCGCCACGGCUCUUUCCCUGUACUAUACUUUUCCUGCAACAUACAUUCGCCUACUUACUGCAAAUAGUUCUCUCCCCACCAGUUGCUCAAAUUAAAACACUAACGUGUACAGCUUAACCAAAUGUAAUACUUUCCUCUGUUGUGGAGUAAUAUGUUUUGUUGUUCUGUUUGUUGGCAUUUGUCUGAAUGUUCCCCAGCUGAGGCGCUCCCUCGCCCCUUUUAAUGUCUGACUCCAGGAGAAAUUAAUCUUAAUUACUUCUUUUCCAUAUAAGCUAAUUAAAUAUUCGCAUGAAAGCCUCCCUCUCACUUCCAAACCCACUCCC